UCAUUAAAAUUUAUUCAUAUUGAAGUGUUCAUAUUGGUAUAACUCAUUGACGUUGGCAUAUAUGAUUUUUAUGAUUUUCAGAUUGUUAAGAUUAUAUGAAAUUAUAUGAAUAAAUUAUUAGGAUUUUCAGGUUGUUAAGAUUAUAUGAAAUUAUAUGGAUAGACAAUUAGGAUUUUCAGGCUGUUAAGGUUAUAUGAAAUUAUAUGGAUAAAUUUUCAAAUUGUUAAGAUUAUAUGUGAUUUGUUAAAAUUUUUAUGUGGUUGUUAGGAUUAUAUAUGAGAUAUAAAAAGAAAUAUAAAUAAGCGUCAUUCACCGUCUUAUUAAAGGCAGUAAACGAUUCACCGCCUUCAAAAGAAAUAUUCGCCCCACGCUUAUGUGGCGAAAGAAGAAUCGGUUUUACAAAUAUAAUUUUGAGAGGAUUAUAUUGCAAAUUUAAAAUUCUAGAGGGUUGUUUUCUAAAAAAAAUCCGCUAAAAACAAAAUUUUUUUAUAAAUAAUCAUAUUGAAAAUUUUAUUUGCAAAAAUAUGCCUCCUAAAAUAUUUAUUGCAAAAAUAGUCCUCAAAUAGGCCAUGUCAGCUCGGUGGUGGUGACUGGGUUAAAUGCGGUGAAUGGUUUACCGCAUUCCGUUAUGCGGUGAACCAUUCACCGCAUUUGUGGGCCUACGACAGCGGGAUUAAAAAUUGAUAAUGCGGUACAUGAUGUACCGCAUUUAAAAGCGGUGAACCAUUCACCGCUUUUAAAUGCGGUAAAUAGUUUACCGCUUUUAUAUACGGCAAACGGUUCACCGCAUUUAAAUGCGGUAAACCCUAAUACCCCGCCCGAACCCCCUUUUCUUUUCUCUUUCACUCCUGUCUCCCGAGUGUCUCCCGAGCUCCUCGUCUCUGUCUCCCGCACGCUCCCUCACUCCUCUCUAUUUCACUCACUCCAACCCGCCCGACGCCGCCGGCGCUGCCGCCGGCGCCGAUUGUAGUGCUUCUGCCCUGCCCUCUCUCCUCAGCAUUGCAUCCACAUUCCUGUCUCCCGAGCUCCUCCUCUUUGUCUCUCGCACGCUCCCUCACGCCUCGCCAUCUCACUCACUUCGACCCGUCCGACGCCGUCGUCGCUGCCACCGUCGCCGGCGCCGACUGUACUGCUUCUGCCCUGCCCUCUCUCCUCAGCAUUGCAUCCACAUUGUUCCAUUAGGUUAGUAGUGAGAUGUUUGAAAAAAAUGUAAUUGUUUUUUAAAUAGAAUUGAUUGUUUGUAAAUUAUUGUGUUCUUUCACUGUAUUUUAUCUAUAUUUUGUGAUAUGUACGCUUU
rnacentral:lncRNA from 1 species